UGGGGAAUUUUGGACAAUGGGCGAAAGCCUGAUCCAGCAAUGCCGCGUGUGUGAAGAAGGCCUUCGGGUUGUAAAGCACUUUUGUCCGGAAAGAAAUCCUUGGCUCUAAUACAGUCGGGGGAUGACGGUACCGGAAGAAUAAGCACCGGCUAACUACGUGCCAGCAGCCGCGGUAAUACGUAGGGUGCAAGCGUUAAUCGGAAUUACUGGGCGUAAAGCGUGCGCAGGCGGUUUGCUAAGACCGAUGUGAAAUCCCCGGGCUCAACCUGGGAACUGCAUUGGUGACUGGCAGGCUAGAGUAUGGCAGAGGGGGGUAGAAUUCCACGUGUAGCAGUGAAAUGCGUAGAGAUGUGGAGGAGUACCGAUGGCGAAGGCAGCCCCCUGGGCCAAUACUGACGCUCAUGCACGAAAGCGUGGGGAGCAAACAGGAUUAGAUACCCUGGUAGUCCACGCCCUAAACGAUGUCAACUAGUUGUUGGGGAUUCAUUUCCUUAGUAACGUAGCUAACGCGUGAAGUUGACCGCCUGGGGAGUACGGUCGCAAGAUUAAAACUCAAAUGAAUUGACGGGGUCAUAGCUGUUUCCU
rnacentral:rRNA from 1 species